rnacentral:lncRNA from 1 species
AGUGGAGUCAGGGUCCCAGAAAGGCUGAUUAUUUAAGUCCAGAAUCUGCAACUCAGGUUUUCCUUCCCCGCUGUCGUCUCUAGAGAACAUGUGUGCUGUAGGGUUCCAUCUGCUUCUGUAAUAAAACAUAAAUUAUUAAAACCAUAAAAUAUUGAUGAACUGUUUUAUAAAACAGAGGGACUUUAACGUAUUGAUUAUGAAUUGAGAAAGCCUUAAUGAUCUUCAGGAGGAGAAAUAAUUGGGCAAUGAUGGUGGGUUGAUUUCCUUCCGUGCCCCUGAAUAACAAGCAAUUAGGAGAAUAAGCUCCCGCUGUCCCAUUUUGCAUCACUGUCAUCUUGCUUUCUUGCCGCUGCACCUUUAAAAGCUACCUUCCAUGAUCAUUACAUGCCACCCAAAGAGAGAGGAGGGGAAAGAACUUCCUUCUUAAAAAGCAACAAAGUAUUUUUGCUGGAAACUGACUUGCUUUUCUUUAGCUCUCUAGGUGGUUCCCAUCAACCCUGGAACACUGGUGGUUUACAUUGUAGCUCUUUUCAUUCUUAGGUGAUUCAAUCAACAAGUUUCUCUCACUGAAGUUCAGGAAGACUUUUCUGUCCCUUUCAUCUUGGAAUGAAGGACCUUAGAACCGGAAGUGAAAAGACCAAGCCGCCCAGAGAGGAAGCAUCUGUCCAAAAUCUCACAGUUAAUUGGGGUCAGGGCUUGGCCUGGCAUCCAGGUGCGCUGACGCUCGUGCUGGAGAGUCUUCUGCUUCCACAUUCUAAGGGGGAGUUUUGGAUGGUGAGAGCUGUUCAAAUGUGGAGCGGGCUCUUGGAUUUUAGCCUUGGUGAAUAGUGAAACGUCCCUCACCGGCUGUAUGGAACAGAGGUUGGAUAACCUCGCGACCUCUUGGAGGGGAUUUGAAGUUUUCUGGAGUAACGCAGUCACUCCCUCAGUCAUCUACACUGGCCUGCUGAUCUUCAAAAUCUCCCAGGUGCUGGAGACUCAGCUGUGACAAGACAGAGAGGUCCCCUGGCUGUAAGGAACUUUCUUUCUAGUUGACGGCUGGAGUGGGCAGACAGAUGAGGAAACCAAGGCAUUCAUGGUUGGCGGGAUGUUCCUGAGGUCACAGAGCGCUCACCUGGUGGAUCUGGGAUUUGGAUCCAGGUCUCCUUUGGUUUCUGAGGUAUCCUACUACUUGGUCACUUUAGCAGCAGACUGGAGACCCAGGAGAGCCGAUGUUUCAGUUGAGUCUGAAGGCAGGAAAAAUGUGACGUCCCAGCUUGAAGGUAGUCAGCUCUUGUGUCUGCCAACCCUAGGAUAUACACAGUCUUCGUGGCUAAUCCUCGUGGUUUGGAAUGGCUGUUUGAAUUCCAGCCAUCGCAUCCAUGUUUCCGGAAAUAGUAUGGAGGAAAAGGAGAUAAAGGACAGAUUUUGAAAAUGAAAACAAAUAUUUCCAGCAGCAGAUAAUGUCACACAUCAGUGAUCAAGACCUACUGAAUGAAAAAGUCUAAGGAUGGAGCCCAUUGAUCUUGCUUUACCAAGCCCUCUGGGUGUUUUGGUCUACACUGAAGUUUAAUAACCACUGGCUUAGAACAAUGAAGAUUUGUUUCUCAUCCACCUUACAAGAGCACUGGAGAUUGUCUGUAGCUUGUUGUGUAUCGUCUUACUUUGCCAGCAUAUGGAGCAGCCCCUAUUAGGACCAAAAAGAGAGACAUGGUGAAGAAAGAGCUGACUCUUAAAACUUUACUCUGAAGUUACAUGUAUCACUUCCACUCACAUUCCAUUGUCCUCAGCAAAUCUAAUGCCAAUGGGGCAGAAACACAUAAUCCUGUCACAGAGAGGGGAUACAUAGGAAGGGAAAUAGGACUAUUGGGUUAGUUUUAUUAUUUUCUCAUUUCUCUAUAGAUUUACAAAUGACAGUAAGAGUAAUGUUUUGACAAACAUAUUUCAAGGUCAUAGAACAAUCAGAAUUUUUACCAUU